AUACGGAGGGGGCUAGCGUUGUUCGGAAUUAUUGGGCGUAAAGGGCGCGUAGGCGGCCUGUCAAGUCGGACGUGAAAUCCCGCGGCCCAACCGCGGAACUGCGUUCGAAACUGUCAGGCUUGAGUCCCGGAGAGGGUAGCGGAAUUCCCAGUGUAGCGGUGAAAUGCGUAGAUAUUGGGAGGAACACCAGUGGCGAAGGCGGUUACCUGGACGGGUACUGACGCUGAGGCGCGAAAGCGUGGGGAGCAAACAGGAUUAGAUACCCCAGUAGUCC
rnacentral:rRNA from 1 species